rnacentral:rRNA from 1 species
CUACGGGUCGCAGCAGUCGAGAAGCUUCGGCAAUGGACGAAAGUCUGACCGAGCGACGCCGCGUGAGCGAUGAAGGCCCCAGUGGUCGUAAAGCUCUGUCAGGAGGGAAUAAAUACCUGCGGCGAAUAACCGCAGGGGCUGAAGGUACCUCCAGAGGAAGCGCCGGCUAACUACGUGCCAGCAGCCGCGGUAAUACGUAGGGCGCAAACGUUGUUCGGAUUUACUGGGUAUAAAGGGUUCGUAGGCGGGCUGGUAAGUCAGAGGUGAAAGCCAACGGCUCAACCGUUGAAUUGCCUCUGAUACUGUCAGCCUUGAGUCCGUUAGGGGAUGGUGGAAUUCCUGGUGUAGCGGUGAAAUGCGUAAAUAUCAGGAGGAACACCGGUGGCGAAGGCGGCCAUCUGGGACGGUACUGACGCUGAGGAACGAAAGCAUGGGUGUCAAACGGGAUUAGAUACCCGGGUAGUC